GUCUGUAGUUUUCAGCUUGUAUCAGUUUCUUCCAUGCAGCGAACAGCUGAGAAAUUGGCCAGUCAUACACAACGCCGUGUAGCCGUCCCUGGGUGCAGUUUAGCCUCUCAAAAAUUUCGUAGUUGCAACGAAAAGGUUAGGUUGGAACCCGCUUCCUUCCCCUGCGCCGACUAAAUUUCAAUCGCGAUUAGGAUCUAAGUCGGUUCCAGCUUUGAUACUCUGGGGUUUCAGGGCAGAACCAAAGGCUCAAGUGCGAGGAAAGAUCUGCCCACUGACCUCAAGGACUCAAAAGCUCUCAUCAUUUAGUUCAAUUUGUUUCAGUCACGUGGGGACUGGGAACUGCCGAGUGCCGUGCUUCAAAGCGGGAAUGGUCAACAACUUUAUUCGUGUGGAAACAAACUUGGGAGCAAACGUUUUCAGGACUGACUAUCGCUGAUCGAGCCUGUUCGAUUUAUUCGUUUUAUAUUAUUUAUUUAAUUUCUUCUGUUAUUGCAUUUCUCAGAGGAAAAUGCGAUGGGACGAUUAAAUAAACUGCAGAAUGUCCGGCCAGUGACUUCAGCUUCGUCCGUUGCUGCGUGGUCUUGCGGUAGUCGAUGGCACACGUUCCAGGUGUUGGAAUAUCAUCUGCAUGUUGUCAAGAAAUAAUCCAGUCACUUCUUUCACCGUCAGUUUUUCUCGUCCGCUGGGUGGCGACGUCUCUGUCUCCGAGGUGCUGCUGAGCUACUUCUUGUAGCCAGUGGACAGAUGCGUCGUCCGUGCUGUCGCAGUCGACGAACUCAUGGGCUCCUCUUCGUCUGCAAGGCCGCGGCAGACCAGGUGCUGCCAGCUGUCGUCGUGACUCGCCGUGCUGGGCCCGUAGCUCGCAGCCAGCUGCUGGUCUCCUCAGAACCCAGAUUAUGCCCUCAUUUGUCGCUCAGGCUGGGACACGGUACACGACGUAAUCAGCUUGUCACUAGUGAGGCGAGCAGAUAAACUACCUUCGCACGGAAUAUGGAACUUUCAAACUUCGGUGGUUUAAUUCUGCCACCUCAGCUUUUCAUUUGCCCCAACACGCUGUUCGACUCCUGGGGGACUUCAUGAGUCCCUUGUUCCACCACUGUUACACCGCUCAGCUUCUUGUUUAGAUCGUCCUAAUGAUUUAAUCAAACUCAAACUGAAUGGCUGUUAUGGUACUUACGCUGUUUUGGAGUUUGUCCUGGCCGGCAAACAACGAAAAUCAGUGCGGUUAGAGGUCUUUAAAAACACAUCUGUACACUUUUGUAACGAUAAUUGCUUGCAGAUUAUCCUCUUUAUUCUAAGGAGUUUGUGAUGAGAAAAAAAAUCAUAAAAUGUAAAUUACAGAUAAA